AUGCUGCCUGAGUGACAGUCCUGGAAACUGACAUAACUAAGGACUAGCAAUGUCACCUUGACUGUGUCUUUCAGGUCCCCAUUGUCUCAACUAUUAGUUGGGAAAGAUAACAGCAGCAUGCUCUGCACAUGGCAAACCCUGGAGUUGCUGAGAGACACAACCCUCAGAGUGAAUACAGUAUCUGAGACAAUGCCAGCCUUCUGGAAACACCCAGUGUCAGUCAGUUCUUCCUUUUCUAAAGAGAAUCCCAGUGAUACAAUAUGGAUCCCAGCAGAUUGGAGAUUCUGAGAACUGCAGACUCUCUGGACUGAGUUAUGGGAUGGAAAGUCAGUCGUCUCCAGGCUUCUGUUGUUAUAGACAGCGAUGCAGCGAAUCAGCACACACACUGGGCAUGAGUCAUAGAGGCUAGAAGAACACCCAAAAGGGUUUUCUCUGCAGGAGAGCAUUUAUCAACCAGAAAUGCCAUGAGUCACAGCAGCGGAGCCUUGGUCCUCACUGGCUAUGAAGCACUUCUGUUCUGGAAAGACAGGGGCCUGGGCUGACAGCAAAAUUCCCUUUUGAAUGCAACCAAUUUAGUGUGACUGUUCAAAGUGCAGAUUCUGGGCUCAAGCUGCCUGGGAUAAAGUCCUGGGAAGUC
rnacentral:lncRNA from 1 species